CUUUAGCAGCUUUAGCAGCAGCAGCAGCUGUUGCUGCUGCAGCUGCUGCUGCUGCAGCUGCUGCUGCUGCAGCUGCUGCUGCUGCAGCUGCUUCUGCUGCAGCUGCUGCUGCUGCAGCUGCUGCAGCUGCUUCUGCUGCAGCUGCUGCUGCUGCAGCUGCUUCUGCUGCAGCUGCUGCUGCUGCAGCUGCUUCUGCUGCUGCAGCUGCUUCUGCUGCAGCUGCUGCUGCUGCAGCUGCUUCUGCUGCAGCAGGUGCUGCAGAUUUUA
rnacentral:sRNA from 1 species